GCAGCGGACUGGAGGCGCUCGCACGGCGGGUGGAAGCCGCAGCAUCUCCCGCCGCCCUCGGCCCCGAAUCGGAUACAACCACGCGGAGGAUCAAGUCCGACCUCAAGUUGGUCACGUUUAUCCAUCCGAUCAGCGCGAGUGGUGCGAGGCGCGAGACCCUCCCGCCAUCCACAUGUGGAUGUUUUGGUGGAUGCAGAAGGUGCUCAUGGAUCCUUGGUCCGUUCGGAUGCUGCAGACGCACACACCUGCUGCCCAGUGUGGAGCCAGCGAGCGGAGUCUGUUCCUGUCUUUGGUUAUCUAGCUGUAUGAGUGUUAAUCAUCCAUCAUAAAGCUAGAUAACCGAAAGUAGGAAUGGCCUUCAAACACCUGGAAAUGACGUGUCAAAAGACGAGAUCUGUCUCUGAGGAGAGCCACCUCAGAGUGCAGUGGGUCACAUGAUCGAGAGCUGAAGACAUGCAGACGCUCUUCCUGUGUAGACCGAUGGAGCCAAGUGUGACUUGUUGUCUGCACUGAAACCAUCAACACUGCAGCAGGAGCUGGUUCCAGCUCUGCUUCUGUACAUAGCCUGGGCCAGCUUGAAUGAAAGCAUGCACAUGCUCUGACAUCUAAACACCGUCUUCAUCGCUGGGAAAAAAGAUCAAUCAUAAAAGAGGAUUUGAAAUGUCAUUGUUUGGUCACCUGUAAAAUAAAAGCUUAUGAUCAUUCUA